rnacentral:rRNA from 1 species
CAGCAGCCGCGGUAAUACAGAGGUCUCAAGCGUUGUUCGGAUUCAUUGGGCGUAAAGGGUGCGUAGGUGGCGCCAUAAGUCGGGUGUGAAAUUUCGGAGCUUAACUCCGAAACUGCAUUCGAUACUGUGGUGCUUGAGGACUGGAGAGGAGACUGGAAUUCACGGUGUAGCAGUGAAAUGCGUAGAGAUCGUGAGGAAGACCAGUGGCGAAGGCGGGUCUCUGGACGGUUCCUGACACUGAGGCACGAAGGCCAGGGGAGCAAACGGGAUUAGAUACCCCGGUAGUCCUGGCAGUAAACGGUGCACGUUUGGUGUGGGGGGAUUCGACCCCUUCCGCGCCGGAGCUAACGCGUUAAACGUGCCGCCUGGGGAGUACGGUCGCAAGAUUAAAACUCAAAGAAAUUGACGG